rnacentral:rRNA from 1 species
GACUACGGCCAUGCCGUCCUGAAUAAGCCCGAUUCCAUCUGAUCUUGAAAGCUAAACAGGGUCGAGCCUGGUUAGUACUUGAUGGAGACCACCUAGGAAGACCAAGUACUGUAGGCA